CGCGACCGUGUUGGGGUUCUUUGCUAGCCUUAUUUAGCUCAACUGUUAGCUAAUAUUUUAGAGGCCAUUUGCUAAAUGCCCUUAAAACAUUGAUUUGUUGGGCAGUAUUCCAGCAAUAUUUAAAGGGUACCAAAAUAGAUUGAGAAAGGUACCAAAAUUUCACAUGGAGUUAAGAUUACCUAAUGACGUUAGCAGAAAAAAUUUGGAGGCUCAAAAUAAAAGAAACAAAAAAAAUAUGCCG
rnacentral:lncRNA from 1 species